rnacentral:rRNA from 1 species
UACGUAGGGUGCGAGCGUUAAUCGGAAUUACUGGGCGUAAAGCGUGCGCAGGCGGCGCGUUAAGACAGGUGUGAAAGCCCCGAGCUUAACUUGGGAAUUGCGCUUGUGACUGGCGUGCUGGAGUGUGGCAGAGGGAGGUGGAAUUCCACGUGUAGCAGUGAAAUGCGUAGAUAUCGGGAGGAACACCAGUGGCGAAGGCGACUACCUGGCCUGUUCUUGACGCUGAGGCGCGAAAGCUAGGGGAGCAAACGGG